GUGAUAUUUGCAAAUUUCAAAUGCUUUUCAAACAAAUAUCCCAAAUGCAGAGGUUAUUUGUGUGUUUUCUUAAAACAUUAGGAUUUAAAAGGUAAAUUUCCUUUGCAGAGGAAUAUGCACUUAAUUUCCAAAAAAUGCAAGGGUCCAUUUGCAAAAUCACAUGAGCAUCGGUCCUUUCCACUUCUCUUUCCCUUUCUUCUUCUUUCCUUCUUUUCCUUUCCACCGAUGGUUCCUUUCCAUGUGGGGGCGGCCGAUGGCGUGACUCGGUCGGCGACCGGCGGGGGCGGCGCGGGGCGGCGGCCGGGGAACGGUGGAGCGGCCAUGCGGAUGCAGCGUGGCGCGGCGCGGCUAGGUCGGCGACAGCGCGGCCAUACGUAAGCGGCGGCGCGGGUGCGGGCGGGCGACCGGCGCCGCGAGCACGCCCGUCGCGGCGGUCGUGGCCGGGCAAGGCGACGCGGCCGGAUUAGGCCGGCGCGGGCACGGCAGCGGCGUCGACCUCGUUCAUGCGUGGUUGCAGCGGCCAGGGGGGCGGCGCGGCGAGCCGAAGGGUGGCGUGGCAUGGCGUGCUAUUUGUGGUGGGCGGCCGGCGACGGCGGCUCGGCCAUCUGGACAACACAGGCGGCAGGUCCAUGUUCUUUACCAAUAAUAUGGAUAUCUUGAUCCUAAAACAAUUUUGUAAUUCUAUCAUGUUCUAGGUAGCAUCAUUGAUCAUAGUUUGAUUUGAGUUUGUUUAUGACCAAGUUUCAUAUAAAUGCCAAAGCAUAUAAAUGUAACAGCUUCUACUGUUGCUCUGUUUGCGUACCAUAUCAAACUAUCAACAGGAUUGAGGGAUCAGUUACUCUCGGAUUUGACCAUCACCAGCUUCUCAAAAAGGUGCAUGCCAAAAUCUCCAUGGUAUUUAGACUGCAGAUCACAGAAUGUUGUCUGUAUAAUUCUUCCAUUUCACACAUAAUGUGAUUAAUGUGAACACGUUUUCUGAAUAAUAGUUACCUGCUUCAUGUUUUCACAGUUACUUUUUAAGACUAUGGUCAUUGUUAUCAGCAUAUACAAUUAGCAGCUAUGUAUCCACAUUUUAUCUUUGUUGUUAAAAGAUAUCACAUUUAGAACAAUCACAUCUUAUAGCCCUUUUAAUCA